rnacentral:rRNA from 1 species
UACAGAGGUCCCAAGCGUUGUUCGGAUUCACUGGGCGUAAAGGGUGCGUAGGCGGUCGGGUAAGUCUGAUGUGAAAUCUCCAAGCCUAACUUGGAAACUGCAUUGGAUACUAUCCGGCUCGAGGAAUGGAGGGGAGACUGGAAUACUUGGUGUAGCAGUGAAAUGCGUAGAUAUCAAGUGGAACACCAGUGGCGAAGGCGACACGCUGGGCCGUACCUGACACUGAUGCGCGACAGCAUGGGGAGCAAACAGG